rnacentral:misc_RNA from 1 species
CUGUAAUGAACUUUAUGAGAAUGAAGUUUUCUCAAAUUGAUUCACCUAAAAAACAAUGUAAAAAGCUGCAGAACUCUUUAUCUUCUAAGGAAUUUAAGUUAAACUAACUUGAUUCCAGUCCUACUAUACAUCAAGUGAACGAUGAAGAAAAGCACACAUGAAACAUCCCAAAAUGUUACCUCCAGAUUACAGUGCAAAAGGUAUGAAAUAAAAAUAAACACAAUAAUUGAUAGAUUGGUUAAAGUUUCUUUAGGAAAAUACUGGUAAGGUGGAUAGUUGCCUUAAGGACAAAGGAAAAAAGAAACAAAAAGUAUACACUCAUUUAUAUAUUAAAACUUCAUUAAACACAGGGAAUCAAGCACUAUAAUUUGCAGAAAAGAUGGCUAUUAUAAACACAGGAAAUCUGCGAACUCACCCACUGCUAUCCUUAUCAAAGUACUGAAAUGCUUUGUAUAGAUGCUCAUCUCUUUCCAGUCGAUAUCUAUGCAUUGUAGCAGAGAUAAACUCAAUGUAGUCGAUUGUUCCAUUUCCAUCCACAUCG